CGGGAGGGGCGUGGCCUGCCGGACUGCGGUCAGCGAGCGCCUGUUGGACUCUUGCGCAAGGCGGAGGCAGCCAGGGGACUUUCGCGAUUACUCCAAGUGCUGCACAGGUUCCGGGCCGCCGGGCCACCCUGCCUCCCCUCCGGGUCUACGCCGCCUGCGCCGUGCUGAGUCGGAGGGCCGCUGGAGGGGACGGCUGUCGCGUCCUGUUACUGGGCUUGCUACCCGCGUGGGCUCCGUCUGAGAUUGUAGCAGAAGUGCGAGAGAUUUGCAGUGUGGCCGCGCAGAACGAGCUGGGCCUGGCCCGCUGAGUUUGUGCCUGGUCUGGGAGGCCUGGGCGCCCACUUCGGUGGGAACCCCCAGUGGGAGGGGCCUUCUCGCGGUCCCCGUGACCACCGAGGCCUGCAUGGCUCCUGGGCACUGGCCGUGAACCCCGCAGAGCAAGUGCACGUUUAUUUCCCCUUGUGCGAAGAAGCAGCACCCAGGACAGAUACAGAGUUUGCAGGGCCAGGUACAGACGGAAAAUGUGGCGCCUUUAUUCCAAACUUAGGAAGAAGUUUAAGAAGGCCCCUCUGUUCCUCAAAUGCCCCGAGUUUUUGCCUGCUGAGUCCUGUGCAUCGAAUACUGAGCUUCUGGGCCGCUGUCUUCCUGACUGCUCGUGGACAGGCUCCUUCCUGUGUUUUAGCUGGUUUCAGUCACCCCCCCCAGAAAGACCCUCGCCGAUGGCUCUUCUGGUUACCACCCUCGUUUCCCAGAUUAUGUGUCUGUUUUCAUCUCUCCUCAGCAGGGCAUAAGUGCAGCAGGAAAGACUGUGCCGUGUUGCCUCCAUUGUGUGCCAUCCUUGGGAGAACUGAGAAAAUCACCAAGAAAAUCACUUCUGGGUCUUGGGGUUUAGAUGAGAAAGGCAUGACUGAUAAAGGGUAGUCCUCAAACAUAUUUUUGCAAUGGAUGAACACAUUGACCCACCGCCGGGAGUGAGUCAGGUUUCUUCCUUCUGACUGCAGCAGCGUCUUGGGAGGACGAGACUCGUGAGCAAGAAUGUUCUGGAAAUCUUCGCGGAAGGGUUUUAGAGCGACCUGCCACUUAGACUUUUUCCAUCUGUAACAGUCAGGGCUGUCAAGCCUGAUGGAAGAGCGUGUUGUGUGGACUUUGAACAGGGCCAGGAGUAGGAAUGGCCGGGGAAGGGGGAGUUAAAGGAAAUUUCAGGAACAUUUGGCUCAUCUGUGGGUGGGCGGAUGUGGGGUCAUUAGGCGCCGAUGAGAUGACAUCUAAAGCAUGGGGAAGUCAGGGUGGGCUUAGAAAUGGUGCUGUUCCAGGCCAUUUCUACAGAGCGUGGAAAUUAAGGGGAGGUGAAAUGAGCGAAAGUCCUGUAUUUGCCAACAGCAUGCUGUGGUUAGCUGCGCUGUAGCAUGAGGGAUUUGAGGCUUGGAGGCGUCUCCUAGAGAACUGUAGCCUAGUCUUGCCGACAGAGCAAGGACCAAAGGAAAGGAUGGGGCAAAUCAUUGUCCUGAAUGUGUUCAAACACUAAAUCGUUAGCAAAGAUUUAUGAAGGGGCAGACUGCUGGCUUCUAGGGGUGGAAGCUUGAACAAGGCCAUCCUGAUCCCUGCACUUACAGGGUGGCUUGGAGAGGUGAGGGACAGAUGGUGUGUAUGGAUGGCAACGUGCUGAGUGCUGUGCGAGGUUCCAGAGGAAGCUGCAGGGGAGGCGGGUGUGCCCGUGCCUUUCUUGCAUACCCUUGUGAGGGUGUGCACAGGUGUACAUUUGGCAGGAAGGCUGUGGAGAGCCUGGGGGUACAUGAACAACAUCCAGAGAUGGCGUUGGAAGAAGGAGAGGCCCCGGCCAGGACAUGCAGAGCCUGAGCCGGCAAACUGAAAGCAGUUCUAGCUUUCAGUCUUGUGUCUGUGUUUUGGAGGACAGGACCUGAAGUCUGAGGCCAAAGAGUAUAUGACUUUGGGAUAUUUGUGGAGAAUUAGGUCUCUAUCCAGACCUGGAAUUCCUAUUUUUAAAAGAAUUGGUGCCAUGACCCCUUUGGCAGCCUGCCAAAACCUAUAAACUCCUUUGAAGAGUAAUGCUUUUAUUUAAAUAAAAGACCCAAGAUUAAAGAGGAAACCGUUUGUAUUGAAAUACAGACAUUGAGCCAACUUUGUGAUAUAUUAAAGCUGCAUUGAAACCACCUUUGUAAUAUAAGUGCUUUUUUAUAAAUGGCAUUAAGUAGCCAGAAGUGGUCUGAUGAAUACAAUUUCCAAAUUAUGUUCUGGAUAAACAAUAUUUUGAG
rnacentral:lncRNA from 1 species